ACCUAAUAGAUACCCGGGUAGUCCACGCCCUAAACGAUGCGAACUGGAUGUUGGGUACAUUACGGUACUCAGUGUCGAAAGCUAAACGCGUUAAGUUCGCCGCCUGGGGAGUACGGUCGCAAGACUGAAACUCAAAGGAAUUGACGGGGGUCCCGCACAAGCGGUGGAGUAUGUGGUUUAAUUCGAUGCAACGCGAAGAACCUUACCUGGCCUUGACAUCUGUCGAAUCCUGCAGAGAUGCGGGAGUGCCGCAAGGAACGACAAGACAGGUGCUGCAUGGCUGUCGUCAGCUCGUGUCGUGAGAUGUU
rnacentral:rRNA from 1 species